UACGUAGGGCGCAAGCGUUGUCCGGAAUUAUUGGGCGUAAAGAGCUCGUAGGCGGUCUGUCGCGUCGGAUGUGAAAGCCCGGGGCUUAACCCCGGGUCUGCAUUCGAUACGGGCUAGCUAGAGUGUGGUAGGGGAGAUCGGAAUUCCUGGUGUAGCGGUGAAAUGCGCAGAUAUCAGGAGGAACACCGGUGGCGAAGGCGGAUCUCUGGGCCUGCACUGACGCUCAUGCACGAAAGCGUGGGGAGCAAACAGG
rnacentral:rRNA from 1 species